rnacentral:rRNA from 1 species
CCUACGGGUGGCAGCAGUAGGGAAUCUUGCACAAUGGGGGAAACCCUGAUGCAGCAACGCCGCGUGGGUGAAGAAGUAUUUCGGUAUGUAAAGCCCUAUCAGCAGGGAAGAGAAUGACGGUACCUGACUAAGAAGCCCCGGCUAACUACGUGCCAGCAGGCGCGGUAAUACGUAGGGGGAACGCGUUCUCCGGAUUUAUUGGGUGGAAAGGGAGCGUAGACGGUUGUGCAAGUCUGAAGUGAAAGCCCUCGGCUCAACGGCGGUACGGCUUUGGAAACUGUGUAACUGGAGUGCUGGAGAGGGAAGCGGAAUUCCUGGUGGAGCGGUGAAAUGCGUAGAGAUCAGGAGGAACACCGGCGGCGAAGGCGGCUUACUGGACAGUAACUGACGUUGAGGUUCGAAAGCGUGGGUAGCAAACAGGAUUAGAUACCCUAGUAGUG